UACGGAGGGUGCAAGCGUUAUCCGGAUUCACUGGGUUUAAAGGGUGCGUAGGUGGGUCUGUAAGUCAGAGGUGAAAUCUCCAAGCUUAACUUGGAAACUGCCGUUGAUACUAUAGACCUUGAAUGCUGUGGAGGUGAGCGGAAUAUGUCAUGUAGCGGUGAAAUGCUUAGAUAUGACAUAGAACACCAAUUGCGAAGGCAGCUCACUACCCAGAUAUUGACACUGAGGCACGAAAGCGUGGGGAUCAAACAGG
rnacentral:rRNA from 1 species